ACCAUUCAGGAGUACCAAACCAGGUUUGAAAGGUUAUCUAAUCAAACUCGUGAUUGGUCUGAAAAAUAGCUAUUGGGGACCUUUAUUGAGGGCUUAAAGCCGGAGAUCCGAGGAGAAGCUAAGGCGCGACAACCGUACACGCUUAUGGCAGCCAUCUCUUUCGCACGACUUCAAGAGGAGCGAUUGAACCAUGAAGCCCGAAGGACAAGGAUCACUCCACGACCUACAGGGUUUAGGGUUUAGGGUUUAGGGUUUAGGGUUUAGGGUAAGGGAUUGAGGUCGAAUUUUCAUAUUUUGUUUGAUGGCCUAUUGAGAUUUGGGAUAGAGUAUGUGUUUCAAUAAUCAUAAUCACAGACAUCCACGCCUUAAUAAUCAUAAUCAUAAUAUCAAUUAGUCUUGCUUCAUCUUCUCGUGGGUCCCGUAAUCACCUCCAUUCUCUCGUCUUACCUCCUCGUAUAAUUACAUCAUAAUCACAGACAUCCACGCCUUAAUAAUCAUAAUUCCAUCAUUGAUAUUAUGAUUAUUAUAAAAAAAUUAUGAUUUGAAUAUUAUGAGAAAUGGGCAAGACUCAUUGAUAUUGAUGUACUCUAUCUAUGUUUAAUCAGUUCUCGUUCAUCAAAUUUGAAAAGG
rnacentral:lncRNA from 1 species